UGGCAGUGCACAGCCACUCUACACCCUACUCCCAGCAGGUAUGAUAGAAGUUUAGAGGAACCUAUUAUGGCUGAAAAGAGAUUCCAACUCACCCCAAGAAAGGCAUCUUUGUUUCCAGUCUGACAACAAGUAUGCUAAAUUUCAUCUUAGAAGUAAUACCUAUAAGAUCUCGCCCAGAGUUCAGAACCUGCGACACCCAUUGGAAUUGAGUGCUCAACACCUUUGAAAGUCAUUCUAUACCUGUGCCGAGAUCCAGAAACAUCAAUCCCAGAAGAUGGGGAAUUUCUUUCUCCAUUGAACUGCUAGGAGGUUUUCAAGAAAAAGAAUUGGUCAUGAACAACAAGCAGCUCUCACCAAGUCACUGCUGAUCAAAAUCUUCAACAGUCUGUAAAGCAACAAUGUAGCUGACUACUAUGAUCCCGUCAAAAUAUUUUGUGGUUGAACUUUUUGAAUAAAAAAGGGGUGCUUAAAAUCACUGUAUAAACUAGCUCCAGUUCAGCUCCUAACAAAGGCUCUGUUGUGAUACUGUGUGUACAGAGAAAUGUAUGUGACCUUGUAGCUUGUGUCGUAGCCUGAGCCUGUCAGGCACAAUUCCCAGAAAGAGAGUGCAUUAGAACUCAUAGCAAACACAUCUUUUUAUAGGUGAUAGGGUUAUAGAAAAGAAGGCCUUCAUAAUAAAUGCCAGAAGAAGAAGGGCGCUUAACUCAAAUUAAUGACUUGUGUAUGAAAGCUGUUAGAUUCUGGACUCAUCCUGGCCCACAUCACACUCAGCCUACAGAACCUAAAAACUCCAGAUUUUUCAGUAGCUUUCAAUUGUGUUAGUUACUGCCAUAUGCCAUCUCGGUGCAGCUCAUAAAUCAGAGCUGCCCUUUAGGGUGCUAAUUUACUGCUAGGAGAGCAUCAGCAGAGCUGCUUGACUAAGGGACUGGAAAUAGAUACCAACAUAUUCCUCUUAGAGUUAUUCUGUGAGGCCUGGGCCUAGAUUUCUUCAGUGAGGAUGAGUCACAUCCUACAGAGUGCUGUCUGUAGAAACAUUAGCCUGCCCCACGUAAAGUAGUUUUGUUACAGAAUUAAAAUAGACCCGGAGAAACAAAACUCUAACCUCUUCUCUUCUUUAAGGAGACAAGGUGAAACUAAAACAAUUUUGAACAAUGAGAAGAUAAAUAUUAUAACGUGGGCUAAUAUUUUUAGUUAAAACUUUGUACACUAAUGUGUAAGAUAUAUGAAAGUCUUCAUCUAUUCUCCUCAUUACUACUCAAUGUAAAGAGUGGUUUUUAAUGGCUCUAUUAAUAUAAUCAAAUACAUUUGAGAAGUUUUUCAUUUCUGUAAGGUC